CAUGUGCCUCCAAAGCGUCUGCUUGUUACAGCCUAUCUUUCUAAGGCCUCGGUCUGGAUAGAACUGGCGUGUGUGAGGGAAAAGGAUGACAGUCCAGAUAAACAGAGCAGAAGGUAUUCUUGUUGAUGCAGAAUUCCACCAUCCACAACACCCAAGAGGGAACAGGCCACAGUCCCACAAGUCUGGGAUUCAUCCCACACCCUGUUCCAUGCAGACCACAAAGGAGGCCCCACCUCAUGACCAGCAGCAGUGACCAGGAUGUUUCUGGCUGUUCCUUCAUGCUCUUGAGACUUACUUAUUUCAGACAGGCUCCUGAACCUUUGCAAGCUU